rnacentral:rRNA from 1 species
GGGUCAGUAGGUUGGUCGUGCCACCGGUACGUACUGGUCUCACUGAUUCCUCCUUCCUGAAGAACCGUAAUGCCAUUAAUUUGGUGUUGCGGGGACACAGGACUGUUACUUUGAAAAAAUUAGAGUGUUUAAAGCAAGCUAACGCUUGAAUACAUUAGCAUGGAAUAAUGAAAUAGGACGAUCGAUCCUAUUUUGUUGGUUUCUAGGAUUGACGUA